GGAGCAGUAGUAUAACUCGGCUAGUAAUUGUGGAUUACCAUUGUGUGGUCCAUGACAGCAAUCGGGGCCUCCAGAGCCUUAGAUCUAGGUUCAAAUCCUAGCUGCUCCA
rnacentral:tRNA from 1 species